rnacentral:misc_RNA from 1 species
AUGUCAGAGUCUGUUGAUUUAUCUACUUAUGCAAACAACUUACCUGGAUGGACUGGAGCAAAGUUGGCUCAGCUGGUCCAGGAGGCUGCUCUUGUGGCAGUCAGGCAAGGACAUGCAUCAAUUAUUCAGUCAGACAUGGAUGAUGCAGUUGACCGACUUACUGUGGGACCAAAGCGUGUUGGAAUAGAGUUGGGUCAUCAGGGACAAUGUCGAAGAGCUACUACUGAAGUUGGAGUUGCCAUGAUUUCUCAUUUGCUUAGGCGAUAUGAAAAUGCCAAAGUUGAAUGCUGUGAUCGCAUUUCAAUUGUCCCCCGCGGUCACUUAAUGCCUAUGGUAACGUGUGCCAAAUGAUAUCUGCAGACAUUGUCACAAGUUGUG